GGCACUAUGGCCGAGUGGUUAAGGCGCUGCCCUGCUAUAUCUGUUGCAGCACAGGCAGUCCGUUCGCGGGCGCGUGUUCGAAUCACGUUGGUGUCG
rnacentral:tRNA from 1 species